rnacentral:rRNA from 1 species
CUAACACAUGCAAGUCGAGCGCAGUCCUUCGGGACCGAGCGGCGGACGGGUUAGUAACGCGUGGGAACAUACCCUUUUCUACGGAAUAGCCUCGGGAAACUGAGAGUAAUACCGUAUAAGCCCUUCGGGGGAAAGAUUUAUCGGGAAAGGAUUGGCCCGCGUUAGAUUAGAUAGUUGGUGGGGUAAUGGCCUACCAAGUCUACGAUCUAUAGCUGGUUUUAGAGGAUGAUCAGCAACACUGGGACUGAGACACGGCCCAGACUCCUACGGGAGGCAGCAGUGGGGAAUCUUAGACAAUGGGCGCAAGCCUGAUCUAGCCAUGCCGCGUGUGUGAUGAAGGUCUUAGGAUCGUAAAGCACUUUCGCCAGGGAUGAUAAUGACAGUACCUGGUAAAGAAACCCCGGCUAACUCCGUGCCAGCAGCCGCGGUAAUACGGAGGGGGUUAGCGUUGUUCGGAAUUACUGGGCGUAAAGCGUACGUAGGCGGAUCAGAAAGUUAGGGGUGAAAUCCCGAGGCUCAACCUCGGAACUGCCUCUAAAACUCCUGGUCUUGAGUUCGAGAGAGGUGAGUGGAAUUCCAAGUGUAGAGGUGAAAUUCGUAGAUAUUUGGAGGAACACCAGUGGCGAAAGCGGCUCACUGGCUCGAUACUUGACGCUUAGGUACCAAAAGUGGGGGGGAGCAAACAGGAAUAAAUACCCUGGUAGUCCACACCGUAAACCAUGAAUGCCAGUCGUCGGGCAGUAUACUGUU